rnacentral:rRNA from 1 species
UACGUAGGUGGCAAGCGUUGUCCGGAAUCACUGGGCGUAAAGCGCGCGCAGGCGGCGAUCUACGUCUGGGGUGAAAGCCCGGAGCUCAACUCCGGGACUGCCUUGGAUACGGGAUCGCUUGAGGAUUGGAGAGGCAAGGGGAAUUCCACGUGUAGCGGUGAAAUGCCUAGAGAUGUGGAGGAACACCUGUGGCGAAGGCGCCUUGCUGGCCAAUUACUGACGCUGAGGCGCGAAAGCAUGGGGAGCGAACAGG